ACGGGUGAGUAACACGUGGGUGAUCUGCCUCGUACUCUGGGAUAAGCCUGGGAAACUGGGUCUAAUACCGGAUAUGACCACGCUUCGCAUGGGGUGUGGUGGAAAGAUUUAUCGGUGCGAGAUGGGCCCGCGGCCUAUCAGCUUGUUGGUGGGGUAACGGCCUACCAAGGCGACGACGGGUAGCCGACCUGAGAGGGUGAUCGGCCACACUGGGACUGAGACACGGCCCAGACUCCUACGGGAGGCAGCAGUGGGGAAUAUUGCACAAUGGGCGGAAGCCUGAUGCAGCGACGCCGCGUGCGGGAUGACGGCCUUCGGGUUGUAAACCGCUUUCGACUCCAACGAAGCGUGAGUGACGGUAGGAGUAGAAGAAGCACCGGCCAACUACGUGCCAGCAGCCGCGGUAAUACGUAGGGUGCGAGCGUUGUCCGGAAUUACUGGGCGUAAAGAGCUUGUAGGCGGUCUGUCGCGUC
rnacentral:rRNA from 1 species